rnacentral:rRNA from 1 species
UACGGGGGGGGGUAAGCGUUGUUCGGAAUUACUGGGCGUAAAGGGCUCGUAGGCGGCUUUGCAAGUCGGGUGUGAAAGCCCUCAGCUCAACUGAGGAAGGGCGCCCGAAACUGCAGAGCUUGAGUGCCGGAGAGGGUGGCGGAAUUCCCCAAGUAGAGGUGAAAUUCGUAGAUAUGGGGAGGAACACCGGUGGCGAAGGCGGCCACCUGGACGGUAACUGACGCUGAGGCGCGAAAGCGUGGGUAGCAAACAGG